UCCUGAUAUACUUUAAUGGACAUUCUUAAACAAUUAAUUACAAUGUGGAAAUCAACAUUUUGUGUGUCAACAAGUCUCUAAAAGAGGAAUUCAGUGAGUAAUGAAGCGGCCCUUUUGGAAAUGCUUUGAACUGUUAAACAGCGAUUUUCAAAAAAGAUUGUGUAGCAACUUACCCCUGACAACGACCUCAGAAGUGCAGUCACAGAGUAAUGGUGCUGUUAUCACUUAAAAGCAACCAUCAAAAAAGAUUGUGUAGCAACUUUCCCCUGACAACACCCACUGGCUCAGUUAAGUGCAGUCACAGAGUGAUGGUACCUCACCAGGGUCUAGUUCAGGCAAAUGAAGAUCUCUAAAAGGGAUUUU